rnacentral:rRNA from 1 species
UUUUGGACAAUGGGGGAAACCCUGAUCCAGCCAUUCCGCGUGAGUGAAGAAGGCCUUCGGGUUGUAAAGCUCUUUCGCAAGGAAAGAAAACUUAUCUACUAAUACUAGGUGAGGUUGACGGUACCUUGAUAAGAAGCACCGGCUAACUACGUGCCAGCAGCCGCGGUAAUACGUAGGGUGCGAGCGUUAAUCGGAAUUACUGGGCGUAAAGCGUGCGCAGGCGGUUCGACAAGUCUGAUGUGAAAUCCCCGGGCUCAACCUGGGAACUGCGUUGGAAACUGUCGGGCUAGAGUGUAGAAGAGGGGGGUAGAAUUCCACGUGUAGCAGUGAAAUGCGUAGAGAUGUGGAGGAAUACCGAUGGCGAAGGCAGCCCCCUGGGCUAACACUGACGCUCAUGCACGAAAGCGUGGGGAGCAAACAGG